AUGAGCAGUGCCAGCGGGACGAGGGACGAGCUGAUGCGUCGGCUCACAGCGAGGGCCGGCAAAGACGCAAUGCGGGUCGCUCGAGGCACCCAGAGUUACAACGAGAAAGACCCUCUAGUAGCUAUGUCUGGGGUGGCGCAGUGCACCAGGGACCUGCUGCCAAGUGAGUGCACACGCUGCCUCUCCUACUACACCGAUCAGCUGCCGCAAUUGCUGUCCAACAACAGCGUCGGAGGAUCAGUCACAGGGUUCAGCUGCCAUAUCGCGUACAACACGUACACGAUCAGCAAGAACGGACGCCGCAAAAGGGUAAAAGCGGCUGUCGUUGCUGGUGCCAUGGCGCUCAUGCUCUGCCUGAUCAGUCUGUCGGUUUGGUUCUUGUCACACCAGAGGCGAAGGAGGUCUAAGGCGGCAGUGAGAUCAGAGCUGGAACAACCACUGAAAGAGGUGGUCUACUUCCAUGGCAGAAGCACAGACCAAGACGAGCUCGAGCAAGGCACCGGGCCCGUGCGAUUCUCAUAUGGUGAGCUCGCGGCCGCCACCGAUUGUUUCUCCGACAGUAAUAAGCUAGGAGAAGGAGGCUUUGGAUCCGUGUACCGUGGGUUCCUCCAUGACACAAACCUCGACAUCGCCGUGAAGAAAGUGUCCAAGAGCUCCCGGCAGGGCUGGAAGGAGUUCGUCUCCGAGGUGAGGAUCAUCAGCCAGAUCCGGCACCGGAACCUCGUGCGGCUCGUCGGAUGGUUCCACGGCGGCGACGACGACGAUCUCCUACUUGUCUACGAGCUGAUGCCCAAAGGCAGCCUCGACGCUCACCUCUACAAGCCAGACCACCUGCUAUCGUGGCCGGUCAGGUACGAGAUCGUGCUCGGGCUUGGCUCUGCACUGCUGUACCUGCACGAGGAGACGGAGCAGCGCAUCCUGCACAGGGACAUCAAGCCAAGCAACGUGAUGCUGGACGCGUCCUUCAAUGCCAAGCUCGGCGACUUUGGCCUUGCCAGGAUCGUCGGCAACGGCAGGGGCUCGUGCACGACAGGAGCGGCCGGGACCCUCGGCUACAUGGACCCAAAGUGCGUCUUCACUGCCACUGCCAGCGUGGAGUCCGACGUCUAUAGCUUCGGCGUCGUCCUGCUCGAGAUUGCAUGUGGCCGACGGCCGGCGGUAGUCCAAGAAGAUGACGAUGACUCCGUUGUCCACUUGCUGCAGUGGGUCUGGGAGUCGUAUGGCAAAGGAACCAUCCUUGAGGCGGCCGAUGAGCGGUUGGAUGGGGAGUUUGACGGGCAGGAGAUGGAGCAUGUCAUGGUGGUCGGGCUCUGGUGCGGGCACCCUGACCGCAGCUUGAGGCCAUCCAUCAGGCAGGCUGUCAGUGUGCUGCGGUUCGAGAUGCCGUUGCCAAGCCUCCCGGCGAAAAUGCCGGUUGCAACCUACAUGCCACAGCCAUCAGCUGAAGAUUCUUUUGGUACUUCAGAUGCCAGCAGCAGCACCGGCAGCAUUGAGGCCACCACGAGCUCUGCACAGACUUGA
rnacentral:rRNA from 1 species